rnacentral:rRNA from 1 species
GAUGAACGCUGGCGGCGUGCUUAACACAUGCAAGUCGAACGGAACGCCAAGGAAAGAGUUUUCGGACAAUGGAAUUGGUUGUUUAGUGGCGGACGGGUGAGUAACGCGUGAGUAACCUGCCUUGGAGUGGGGAAUAACACAGUGAAAACUGUGCUAAUACCGCAUGACAUAUUGGUGUCGCAUGGCACUGAUAUCAAAGAUUUAUCGCUCUGAGAUGGACUCGCGUCUGAUUAGAUAGUUGGCGGGGUAACGGCCCACCAAGUCGACGAUCAGUAGCCGGACUGAGAGGUUGGCCGGCCAC